CUUUCUUUGCUGGCGACCGGCGCACGGGUGAGUAACACGUAUCCAACCUGCCCUUUACUCGGGGAUAGCCUUUCGAAAGAAAGAUUAAUACCCGAUAGCAUAAUGAUUCCGCAUGGUUUCAUUAUUAAAGGAUUCCGGUAAAGGAUGGGGAUGCGUUCCAUUAGGUUGUUGGUGAGGUAACGGCCCACCAAGCCUUCGAUGGAUAGGGGUUCUGAGAGGAAGGUCCCCCACAUUGGAACUGAGAUACGGUCCAA
rnacentral:rRNA from 1 species